UACGUAGGGGGCUAGUGUUGUCCGGAAUCAUUGGGCGUAAAGAGCGUGUAGGCGGCUCGGUAAGUCCGCUCUGAAAGCCCGGGGGCUCAACCCCGGGAGGCGGGCGGAUACUGUCGGGCUAGAGUCCGGAAGAGGCGAGUGGAAUUCCUGGUGUAGCGGUGAAAUGCGCAGAUAUCAGGAGGAACACCAAUAGCGAAGGCAGCUCGCUGGGACGGUACUGACGCUGAGACGCGAAAGCGUGGGGAGCAAACAGG
rnacentral:rRNA from 1 species